UGAAUCCCCUAUUUAAAGUGUUGAAGAUCACCAAGAGAGAAGGCAAGGGCUGCAGCUCUUAAAGCCUGGAACGGUUUGGACACUGCAACUUUUCCUACAUAAGGGAAGGUCCUUUAAGCACGGAAGCCUUUAAAGGUGUGUGAAUUUGGUAUUGACUUGAAUGAAGGAUGUUAGAGCCUGGGAUGCUGAGGCAUGUGUUUACU
ensembl:lncRNA novel transcript